CCAGUCAGCCCACGGAAUAUAGGGAAGAUUUACAGGAAUAUAAUGAAAACGGUAGCAACCCCUCCUCCCCAGAAAAGAGGAGUGAGGGUGGUGGUGCGCCAGAGGCAAGAACUCUAGGCACAAUAAUGGAUUUGGAAUAUGCAACCAUGACAUGAUUUUUUUUUACCUAUGGUAAAAAAGAAAUAUCCCCUGCAUAUUGCCUCACAUAAAUGAUCUGACAGCUGAGUGAUCCAAGUAUGCCCAUUGUGAAAGGAGAUAUUUGUCAACAGGACACACGUCCAUUAGAAACUAGACCAAAGCCAUGGAUUCAUUUGUCAUAGCUUCCAAAACAGCCUUGACUGGUAAUGAGUUCUUUGCUCUAGAAACCAAG
rnacentral:lncRNA from 10 species